AUGGACAAGUUCCCCAGCGACCACGCCCCUGCCGUCCCCGCGCAUCUGCUGCUUCGUCACCAACCUCCAGCGCCUCCGCCGGCCUGGUUCGCCUCGCCGCUGUUGCUUUACAAGCCUGCCUCCCUUCUGCUCCGUCCAUUAGACCACCUUGGCCGUGGUUUGCCGCUGCCUAGACCACCUUCAGCUGGGUGCCCCGCCUCCUGCUUCGGCCAGAGUUCCUUCGCCUCCAAGCUGCUUCUCGAGCUGUCACUCGAGGUUGUAACCUCCGUGUGUUCUACCACCCCGUGCAUGUCGCCAAAGUACCACAACACCGAUUACCACACAGACCGCCAAGACCGAGUACGAGGAUUCACAAAGUACCUUCGAAUGCGCCAAGUUUGA
rnacentral:rRNA from 1 species